CAGUCACCAAAAAUUGAGACGCCUGGAUGGGGGCUGGGCACCGAAUCCUCGGCUCCAGAGGUCCUCUGUCUCUUUUCUCUGCAUUCCAGCCUUUGUCACCCCAGUUGAGUCCAUAACAUGGAGGUGUGCUCAUCAUCAGCAUCGGAAGCUGUCCCCCCAAAUGUUUUUCUUAAACGCAUGAACAGGGAGCGUUUUGGUGUCUGGAAGGAAAAGUACAGUCCCUGAGACCAAAUCCAUCAUGUUUUUGUCAUGUGAGGACGCAUGGGAAAAAGGACCCUGUGUAAAUCAGAAACAAAGAAGACAAAACAAGGAGAGGCGGCAGACAAGGUGAUGGAGAAGGGGCCUGGAGUGCACACGGGUAGCUGCAGAGGACCAAGGAACAGGAGGAAGGCUGCCCUCCCCAGGCUUGCAAGGAGACACCUCCCCCAGUGUUCACUCCAGGGAAGGGGACGGCCUUCCUCUUAGCCACUCAAGCAGGGGUCCAAGGAAGAACCCAAAGCAUUAACUAUCUAGGGACCAACCUGAGCCAGGAGCUGCAAGACCUCUACACCGAGAGCAAUAAAACAUGACUCAAGGAAGUUGAAGAGGAGUCAAAGAAGGGGAGAGAUAGUCCAUGCUCCUGGCUUGGAAAAAUGAAUAUCCUAAAAAUGGCCAUUCUACGCAAAGCAAUCUACAGAUUCAAUGCCAUCCCCACCUGUGAUAGUUUUCACAGAAGUAGAACAAAACCAUCCAAACAUUUACACGGAACCAAAACAGGCCCAGAAUGGCCAAGGCAAUCCUGAGGAACAAAAACCAGGCAGGAGGCACACCUCUCCCAGACUUUGGUCAAUAUUACAAAGCUACAGUAAGCAAGACAGUGUGGUAAAGGUACCAAAACCGACACACAGACCAUUGGAACAGAAUGCAGAACCCAGAAAUAACCCCCAAACCGACGGUCAAUUAUUCUUCAACUGAGGGGGCAAGAAUGUAAAAUGGGGAAAAGACAGUCUGUUCAGCGAGUGGUGCUGGGAAGCUGGACAGCCACAUGAAAAUCCAUGAAACUGGAAAACACCCUCAAACCGUGCACAAAGAGAAACUCAAAACGGCUUAAAGACUGAAACGUAAGACAAGACACCAUCAAACUCCUGGAGGAGAAUGUCCGCAAAACAUUCUCUGACAUCAAAGCAUUUCUGUAGGUCACACUGAGUGCAAGGAAAAAGAAACCAAAGCAAAACUAAACAAAUGAGUCCUAAUCAAGCCCAUAAGCCCUUGCACAGCAAAGGAACUCAUAAAAACUAACACAGCCUAUGGAAUGGGAGAAAAUAGUUUCAAGUGAUGCAACUGACAUCAGCCUAACAUCUAAAACACACACACACACACACACACACACACACACACACACAAAUCAAGACACUUCCAACACAACAGCAAAAACAAACAACCCAUUUGAAAAAUGGGCAAGAGAACUGAACAGACAGUUACCCAAGGAAGAUAGACAGCCAGCCAACAGGCACAUCAAAACAUGCUCAACAUCAUGAAUGAUUAGAACAAGGCAUAUCAAGGCUACGAAGAAGGACCACCUCACACCUGUCAGAAUGGCCAUCAUUAGUAAGUCUAGAAAUAACAAAUGCUGGAGAGGGUGUGGAGAAGAGGGAACCCUCCCUCCUACCCUGUUGGUAGGAAUGUAGCUUGGUACAACCGCUAUGGAAAACACCAUGCAGGUACCUUGGAAAACUAAAUGUAGAACUAGCAUGUGACCCAGCAAUCCCACUCUUGGGCGAAUAUGGGGACAAGACUUGCCUUGAACAAGAUACAUGCACCCAUGGAUGUUUACAUACAGUGCUGAAUGUCCAUUGCAGCACUCCUCACACUAGCCAAGACAUGGAAACAACCUAAAUGUCCAUCGACAGGUGAAUGGGUUAGGAGGAGGUGGGAUAGAUACACAAUGGGAUACUCCUCAGCCAUAAAAGGAAGGAAUAGUGCCAUUUGCACCAAAGUGGGUGGAACUAGAGACGCUCACACUAAGCAAAGUCCCUCAGAAAGAGAAACACCAAUCCCGUACGAUAGCACUUAUACCUGGACUCUAAUACACAGCACAAAUGAUCCUUUCCACGGAAUAGAAACUCAAGGACUUGGAGAAGGGACUUGUGCUUGCCAACAGGGACAGGGAGGGAGUGGGAUGGACUGGGCCUCUGGGCUUAAGGGAUGCAAACCAUUGCAUCUGGACUGGAUAAGCAAUGAGAGCCCACUGGAUUGCACAGGGAACAAUAUCCAGUCACUCACGAAGGAACGUGAUAGAGGAUAAUGGGAGAAAAUGUAUGCAUGCCUGUGUGUAUGUGCACGUGCACACGCACGUGUGUGCACCUGUGCGUGACAGGAUCACUUUCCUGCACCGUAGAAAUUAACAGAAAAAUUUAAACCUAGUAUAAUGGAAAAAAUAAAAAAUCAUUUAAAAAGUUAAAACUUUACUGGAGGGAUAAUUUCUAGGAAAAGUAUGCUAAUGAAAGGAUUCACAAUACAUUGAUCUUAAAAUCAAAAAUAGAAGACAUGACAAUGCUCUAAUCCAACCAUUAAUAGCAGCCACUAUCCAUCCCAUGACAGUUUUUCUGCAGGCUUCAUUUUGUGCGUGGGCCCUGAACAAAAGGAUGUCCACACUCACAAGAGCCUUACAACAAGAGGGGCUUACUUCAUGGAGAGAAACACAGAGGGAGCACGGAGUCCUUCUCACCCAGAUGGGCAGCGAGUUUGUACAAUGGUGCCGGACACCAGGCUAAGGAUGAGGGUGCACUCUGAGCUCUCACUUGCAACAUCGCCUGGGUGUGUGCUACCUAGGGUGGCCAAACGUAAGAAUGACAGUGACACCGUCCAAUACAAGACGACGCCUCUCCGAUUCCCAUCUGCUUUGGCCGUGUUGAAGCAAUGACAGCAGCACUGGCAGGGACCUUUUAAAAUGCACAGCAUCAACAGGACCUCUGGAGACCCUGGUCUUCCCGGGCAUAGACACAGAGCAGGGGCCCUCCCCGCUCCGUGCUCCCCAUGAAUGAUCAAAUCCUGGCUGAGGGAGAGGCGCAAGGCAGGGCUCCAGAGCAUCCCCAUAGGGAACCCAGCCUGGGUCCCACUUUGGCUUUUCCACGUAGGAGGUCAAGAGCUUGGGCCAACGGUCUCUGCCCCAUUGGGAACAGUGGCGGUGAGGGAUGAGUGCAUGCCUGUAGAGGUGGUAUGCGGAGGUGAUGGGAUGUGUCUUAAGGAAAGUUGAGAGGUGUAUUUUCUGUAUAAAUAGGAGCGAGCUCAUGAGGAAACAGAUGCUUACACCACAAGUGCGCACACAUGGACCUCACUCCCUGUCCCUCCUAAUGUGUCACAACCCAAGGAAUCAACACAAGAGACUUGUGUCCAGGGCAUGUACCACCAGGGCAUCACUCUGACCGGGAAAGAGCUGCCUGCUCAACAUCCCAGACGACCCCCUUUCCAAAAGCAUCCCAGGAUCUGGCCACUCUCCAACCAAUGCCAGCAAGGAAGACCCACCUUCUUCUUCAACUUCAACCUGAUUGUUCGUCACUGGAGUCGUGAUCUCUGACGUCACUGCAUUAUCAUUAGUCGUUUCACUGGUCAUCAUCUAGUGCAAGAAAACAGUGUGAGAUCUCAGCUUCCUGGUCUCUAUGGACACAAGAAUUGUCAUGGUCUUUCUGUCCAUCAAAACCCAAAAGGGAAACACGCCUCGAGUCCAUGGUCCCAAAGAGAACACAGAGGUCAUCCUGGACAGAGGCUUCAAAUCUCCGUGGAGGAAUUCUUAUGUGUACUUUGACACCAAAUCACCAAAAUCUCUUGCAAGGAGGGCAAUUCUCUGCUGAUAACACUGCUCUCAGCCAUACUUCCAGUUUCUAAAGGCUAUUGUCAUUUUUUCAAUCAGUCACACAUUGGGAGAGACAUUCAGUCAACAUGCAUCCAACCCAGGAAAAAUGUAGGUCUCCACUGAUUUGAACAGUUUAGACUUUCAUAGUUGAAAUUGGUAGACAAAAGGAGGAAAUUGGAGUUCCCGUCUUGGCACAGUGGAACCAAAACUGACUAGAAAGCAUGAGGUUGCGGGUUUGAUCCCUGGACUCGCUCAGUGGGUUAAGGGUCUGGUGUUGCCAUGCGCU